UACGUAGGGUGCAAGCGUUAAUCGGAAUUACUGGGCGUAAAGCGUGCGCAGGCGGCUUUGCAAGACAGAUGUGAAAUCCCCGGGCUUAACCUGGGAACUGCAUUUGUGACUGCAUGGCUGGAGUGCGGCAGAGGGGGAUGGAAUUCCGCGUGUAGCAGUGAAAUGCGUAGAUAUGCGGAGGAACACCGAUGGCGAAGGCAGCGCCCUGGACGACACCUGACGCUCAGGCACGAAAGCUGGGGGAGCAAACAGG
rnacentral:rRNA from 1 species